GAAGGAGGGCCCUUCGGAGCCGGUUUUUAGGAGCAGGCUUCAAACCACCUCAAGCGGCUGUGGUAAAGAGCUAUGGUCGUGAGCGUUGAGGAAAAGUCCACAUUGAAGUGGGCAGGU
rfam:Necator americanus N_americanus-1.0_Cont2006.1, whole genome shotgun sequence.